ACGAAGCUAUAAUUACUAAGUACUUAGAAACGUAUUAAAUAUAGUCGAUGACCAUUUUCAUGUUAUCACGAGAAUAUCACGGCGUGUUUCAAAAAUCGUUCCAUCUGUCUUCUUCCUAUCUUUCGUAAUGGAUAAACGCAGUUAUAAUAACGAUAUUUUCUCAAUAAGUUGCUGAAAUCUGAAGUUGACAACCAAGCAUGGUAUGCUGCGUUUUAAUGAAUCUUUAAUGAAUGAAGC